AACUCUGCAAUAAGCGAAAGCUUGACAGGGUUAUUCUGAGUGUUUUCCGCUAAGGAAAUCUUUUGGCACCUCUAAAAAUGGUGCAGAAUAAGGGGUGGGCAAGCCUGGUGUCAGCCGCCGCGGUAAUACCAGCACCCCGAGUGGUCGGGACGAUUAUUGGGCCUAAAGCAUCCGUAGCCGGUUCUACAAGUCUUCCGUUAAAUCCACCUGCUUAACAGAUGGGCUGCGGAGGAUACUAUGGAGCUAGGAGGCGGGAGAGGCAAGCGGUACUUAGUGGGUAGGGGUAAAAUCCGUUGAUCCAUUGAAGACCACCAGUGGCGAAGGCGGCUUGCCAGAACGCACUCGACGGUGAGGGAUGAAAGCUGGGAGAGCAAACCGGAUUAGAUACCCGGGUAGUCCCAGCUGUAAACGAUGCAGACUCGGUGAUGAAUAGGCUUCGUGCCUAUUCAGUGCCGCAGGGAAGCCGUUAAGUCUGCCGCCUGGGGAGUACGGUCGCAAGACUGAAACUUAA
rnacentral:rRNA from 1 species